UACGGAGGGUGCGAGCGUUGUCCGGAAUCACUGGGCGUAAAGGGCGCGUAGGCGGCGCGGGCAGUCAACGGUGAAAGCUUGGGGCUCAACCCCGAGCCGGCCGUCGAUACUCCCGUGCUUGAGCACUGUAGAGGCAGGUGGAAUUCCGGGUGUAGCGGUGGAAUGCGUAGAGAUCCGGAAGAACACCGGUGGCGAAGGCGGCCUGCUGGGCAGUAGCUGACGCUGAGGCGCGACAGCGUGGGGAGCAAACAGG
rnacentral:rRNA from 1 species